rnacentral:tRNA from 1 species
UAACUCAAUUGGGUAGAGUGCUUGCCUCUCAUGCAAAAGGCCCUGGGUUCAAUCCCUG